rnacentral:misc_RNA from 1 species
AAGUCGUAACAAGGUUUCCGUAGGUGAACCUGCGGAAGGAUCAUUACAGAAUAAACCUGAUGGAUUGCUGCUGGCUCUCUUGGGAGUAAUGUGCACAUCUGUCAUCUUUAUAUUUCCACUUGUGCACACCAUGUAGAUCUGGAUAGCUAUUCUUUAAGCGCCCAUUCAUUUGAGCGCUUUUAGGUUUUGAAGAUUGCUGUUUUGGCAGCUUUCCUCACAUUUCCAGAUCUAUGUUUUAUAUAUUUUUAAACUCCAUUGAAUGUAUUAGAAUGAGAUUCUGGCUUUUAAAGCCAAUAAAAUGUAUACAACUUUCAGCAACGGAUCUCUUGGCUCUC